AAAUGCCCAAAUAACUCCCAUUUUUCCCAAAUCGUGGAACGGUGGAAGGUUAGAAGAAAACCCUUUUCCAAUUUCUUCAAUUCUUCCUUCACUGCCUGCACGACGCUGCACACGAGCGACGAGACACGACGUUGUCGGAGACCGUCGAUUUCGCCCCUGCCCUGCAGGCUGCAGUGUGAGACACUUCUUCCUUCGCCGUCGUCGUUUAAGGGUAUCAAUUUGGCGUGAAAUUGGAGCAGAAUCGCAGAAUUCUUUGUCCACUUGGUGAGCAAGUUCUCUGGUUCAUUGGUUGGAGACUUGGAUUCAAUAUUAGUGCCAAAGGAUUCCUUCCUCAUGUCAAUGAGUUAAAUUGAUCAGUUGAUGUUAAAUAUGUUGUGAUUUAUUCAUUUGGGAAUUAAAAAAUUGCAAAUUGUGAUUUAUGAAUUAUGAUAAGUAAUUCAUAAAUUUAAGAGUUAUGAUUAUUGAUUUGGGAAUUUAUGUUUACGAAAUUAUAUUUGCAUUCCUGAUUUAUGAUAAGUAAGUUAUGUUUUGAUGA